rnacentral:rRNA from 1 species
UACGUAGGGGGCUAGCGUUUGUCCGGAAUCAUUGGGCGUAAAGAGCGCGUAGGCGGCUGGAAUAGUCCGGUGUGAAAUCCACAGGCUUAACCUGUGAAUGCCGCUGGAAACUGUCUGGCUAGAGUCCGGAAGGGGCGAGUGGAAUUCCUGGUGUAGCGGUGAAAUGCGCAGAUAUCAGGAAGAACACCCGUGGCGAAGGCGGCUCUCUGGAACGCAAACUUGACGCUAGACGCGAAAAGCGUGGGGGAGCAAA